rnacentral:rRNA from 1 species
AUUGAACGCUGGCGGCAGGCCUAACACAUGCAAGUCGAGCGGUAGAGAGAAGCUUGCUUCUCUUGAGAGCGGCGGACGGGUGAGUAAUGCCUAGGAAUCUGCCUGGUAGUGGGGGAUAACGUUCGGAAACGAACGCUAAUACCGUAUACGUCCUACGGGAGAAAGCAGGGGACCUUCGGGCCUUGCGCUAUCAGAUGAGCCUAGGUCGGAUUAGCUAGUUGGUGAGGUAAUGGCUCACCAAGGCGACGAUCCGUAACUGGUCUGAGAGGAUGAUCAGCCACACUGGAACUGAGACACGGUCCAGACUCCUACGGAAGGCAGCAGUGGGGAAUAUUGGACAAUGGGCGAAAGCCUGAUCCAGCCAUGCCGCGUGUGUGAAGAAGGUCUUCGGAUUGUAAAGCACUUUAAGUUGGGAGGAAGGGCAGUUACCUAAUACGUGAUUGUUUUGACGUUACCGACAGAAUAAGCACCGGCUAACUCUGUGCCAGCA